rnacentral:rRNA from 1 species
GGGCCCGCACAAGCGGUGGAGCAUGUGGUUUAAUUCGAUGCAACGCGAAGAACCUUACCAGGUCUUGACAUCCUGAGAACUUAGCAGAGAUGCUUUGGUGCCUUCGGGAACUCAGAGACAGGUGCUGCAUGGCUGUCGUCAGCUCGUGUUGUGAAAUGUUGGGUUAAGUCCCGUAACGAGCGCAACCCCCUGUCCUUAGUUGCCAGCACGUAAUGGUGGGAACUCAUGGGAUACUGCCGGGGUCAACUCGGAGGAAGGUGGGGAUGACGUCAAAUCAUCAUGCCCCUUAUGUCUUGGGCUUCACGCAUGCUACAAUGGCCGGUACAGAGGGCUGCAAUACCGUAAGGUGGAGCGAA